rnacentral:rRNA from 1 species
GACGAACGCUGGCGGCGUGCUUAACACAUGCAAGUCGAACGGAAAGGCCCUGCUUUUGUGGGGUGCUCGAGUGGCGAACGGGUGAGUAACACGUGAGUAACCUGCCCUUGACUUUGGGAUAACUUCAGGAAACUGGGGCUAAUACCGGAUAGGAGCUCCUGCUGCAUGGUGGGGGUUGGAAAGUUUCGGCGGUUGGUGAUGGACUCGCGGCUUAUCAGCUUGUUGGUGGGGUAGUGGCUUACCAAGGCUUUGACGGGUAGCCGGCCUGAGAGGGUGACCGGCCACAUUGGGACUGAGAUACGGCCCAGACUCCUACGGGAGGCAGCAGUGGGGAAUAUUGCACAAUGGGCGGAAGCCUGAUGCAGCAACGCCGCGUGCGGGAUGACGGCCUUCGGGUUGUAAACCGCUUUCGCCUGUGACGAAGCGUGAGUGACGGUAAUGGGUAAAGAGGCACCGGCUAACUACGUG